CAGUAGCCACGGGAAUACGGAGGGAGCUAGCGUUGUUCGGAAUUACUGGGCGUAAAGCGCACGCAGGCGGUCUGUCAAGUCGGAUGUGAAAUCCCCGGGCUCAACCUGGGAACUGCAUUCGAAACUGGCAGGCUAGAGUCUUGUAGAGGGGGGUAGAAUUCCAGGUGUAGCGGUGAAAUGCGUAGAGAUCUGGAGGAAUACCGGUGGCGAAGGCGGCCCCCUGGACAAAGACUGACGCUCAGGUGCGAAAGCGUGGGGAGCAAACAGGAUUAGAUACCCGCGUAGUCCCUGUCUCUUAUAU
rnacentral:rRNA from 1 species